AGAUAUAGAUGAAUGUAAGUCUGGUAUCCAUGGCUGCCAGCACGGCUGUAACAACCUUCCCGGAACAUACGAAUGUACCUGUCCGGACGGCUUCGUGCUGAUUGGUCAAGACUGCUUAGAUGUGGACGAGUGUUCUCUAGAUCUGGACGACUGUUCGCAGUCCUGUACCAAUACGAAUGGCUCCUACACGUGCGGGUGUCCUACAGGGUAUGCGCUUAACCCAGACGGAAGGACAUGUGACGACGUGAACGAGUGCACCAGCUCCCCCUGUCAGAACGGAGGUGAAUGUCAGGAUGGAGUUAACCAGUACACAUGUUCGUGUGCCCGCGGUUGGGUUGGAGCUCAUUGUGAAGAAGGUGUG